AUAUUGGCGAGAGACCGAUAGCGAACAAGUACCGUGAGGGAAAGAUGAAAAGCACUUUGGAAAGAGAGUUAAACAGUAUGUGAAAUUGUUAAAAGGGAAACGAUUGAAGUCAGUCGUGCUCUUUGGAUUCAGCCGGUUCUGCCGGUGUACUUCCUUUGAGUGGGGUCAACAUCAGUUUUGACCGCUGGAUAAAGGCUGGAGGAACGUAGCACCCCCGGGUGAACUUAUAGCCUCCUGUCACAUACAGUGGUUGGGACUGAGGAACGCAGCACGCCUUUAUGGCCAGGAUUCGUCCAUGUACGUGCUUAGGAUGUUGACAUAAUGGCUUUAAACGACCCGUCUUGAAACACGGACC
rnacentral:rRNA from 1 species